AGAUUGCCUUUCUGCUCCCUGCCCAGUUCCCUUGACCUUUGCCCUCAGCACCAGGAAAGCGCAUACUUGCCCAACCUUUAUGCCACACAGUUCAGAGCAACACAUGCUCUAAUCUGGACUAAGUCCACUUAGCAGAGGCAUAGGUGGCCCUCUGCUGACCCUUCCUGGAGACUCUCGUAUUGCCAGGGUUCUCCCAUCUGUGCUAAUGGGAAUGGGGAGAGGAUGAGGCGAAACAGACAGAAAACUGUUCUUCCACUGUUAAGUCAGGAAGUGGCCCCUCAGAGAGAAACUUGCCAAAGAGCUUCUCACGAGGUUCCUGCAGCUCCUUGCCGCUCCUGUAGACUCAGGUCAGUUGUUGAGCCUCAGGGUUUCUUCUGGAUUGAACUGCCCUUGCUGAUUCAUGUGUGAGUGGGCCGGACUGCAGCUGCCGAUUCAUGUUUAGUGUUCAUUAGUAGACUGGACUGAAGAUUGGAAGACCCCCAAAGAACUAUUUCCAAACAGGUUGCCACAGAAAGAAGACUGGCCCUGGAUACAAACCCUUGACCUUGGCCCUCCAGAACCGGGAGUGGAAGCUGCUUCUUUGUUAUACAUGGGCAAACGAAGAAAACGAGAAACAGUUUCCUGCCCCCCUCCCCUGAUUGUCUUGGGUCAUCACUUUUGUCCCUAACAUGGAGCCUGGCAGCUGGACCGAAGUGAAAUGGUGUGAGCAUUCAUUGCUCUCUGGACGGGAGGCUGGGCCCUGCGGAGGGGAGGCUGAAGGGGCGCAGUGAGGAGCCCCACGCACAACCUCCCUGACAAGAACAAUUGCAGUGAGACUAUCUGCAGCCCCUCUACCCUACCGCACUGCUACUUCCCACUCUCCCAUCCUCCACGCCCACGCCUACCCCUACUACCCGCCACAGGCAACAGGGGAAGAGCUGGGUGACUUGAUGUCCUGGCGGAUUCAUGAAUUGUCACUAAUAUUCUGCAUAGCUGCCGGUGUGCAGUUUUAAAAGAAUCACUCAAUUAAAAGGAUGGUGUUUGCAUAGUAAAUAU
rnacentral:sRNA from 1 species